rnacentral:pre_miRNA from 1 species
AUUGUACUCCCUCCAUCCCAAAAUUCUUGUCUUAGAUUUGUCUAGACACGGAUGUAUCUAAAUACUAAAACGUGACUUGAUACAUCCGUAUUUAGACAAAUAUAAGACAAGAAUUUUGGGACGGAGGGAGUACAAG